rnacentral:rRNA from 1 species
GAUGAACGCUGGCGGCGUGCCUAAUACAUGCAAGUCGAACGGAGCUAUUUAUAGCUCAGUGGCGAACGGGUGAGUAACACGUAGGUAACCUAUCCUUAAGUUGAGAAUAACAGUUGGAAACGAUUGCUAAUACUUGAUAUGUAACGAAGAAGCAUUUCUUUGUUAUAAAAGAUCCGUAUGGAUCGCUUUUGGAGGGGCCUGCGGCGCAUUAGUUAGUUGGUGGGGUAACGGCCUACCAAGACAGUGAUGCGUAGCCGGACUGAGAGGUUGAACGGCCACACUGGGACUGAGACACGGCCCAGACUCCUACGGGAGGCAGCAGUGGGGAAUAUUGGGCAAUGGGGGAAACCCUGACCCAGCAACGCCGCGUGAAGGAAGAAGGCCUUCGGGUUGUAAACUUCUUUUAGCAGGGACGAAGAACGUGACGGUACCUGCAGAAAAAGCAACGGCUAACUACGUG